UUAGACCCAAUAAAAAAGCAAAGAGCCCUUCCAUAAAGUCCCCCAAUAACAAGUCUAUUUUCUUAGUGGGAUGCCUGACACCUGCCCCUCACUGUAAGGCAGGUCAACGGCACUGCCAGGCUUGCCUCCGGUUCCUAGCGGCUGGCUGCAGGGGACCCACAGGGGGGGACCAAAGUGGGUCCCGGCAGGAGCCAUCUGAGUGCAGCCUUGGAUCUGACA
rnacentral:snoRNA from 1 species